CAGCCGUAAACUAUGCUCGCUAGGUGUCAGGCAUGGCGCGACCGUGUCUGGUGCCGCAGGGAAGCCGUGAAGCGAGCCACCUGGGAAGUACGGCCGCAAGGCUGAAACUUAAGGAAUUGGCGGGGGAGCACAACAACGGGUGGAGCCUGCGGUUUAAUUGGACUCAACGCCGGACAACUCACCGGGGGACGACAGCAAUAUGUAGGCCAGGCUGAAGACCUUGCCUGAAUCGCUGAGAGGAGGUGCAUGGCGUAGACGUCU
rnacentral:rRNA from 1 species